rnacentral:rRNA from 1 species
UACGUAGGGGGCAAGCGUUAUCCGGAUUUACUGGGUGUAAAGGGAGCGUAGACGGCAGUGCAAGUCUGGAGUGAAAGGCGGGGGCUCGACCAUUGUAUGCAUUGGAAACUGGUAGACUUGAGUGCAGGAGAGGAGAGUGGAAUUCCAUGUGUAGUGGUGAAAUGCGUAGAUAUAUGGAGGAACACCGGUGGCGAAAGCGGCUCUCUGGCCUGUAACUGACACUGAGGCUCGAAAGCGUGGGGAGCAAACAGG